rnacentral:rRNA from 1 species
ACGCUGGCGGCGUGCCUAAUACAUGCAAGUCGAACGGUCUUUCUAUGGAAGCUUGCUUCACUGAGAAGAUAGUGGCGAACGGGUGAGUAACACGUGGGUAACCUGCCCAUAAGAGGGGGAGUAACAUCCGGAAACGGGUGCUAAUACCGCAUAGUUUUCUUGAUCGCAUGAUCGGGAAAGGAAAGACGGCCUUUGUGCUGUCGCUUAUGGAUGGACCGCGGCGUAUUAGUUAGUUGGUGAGGUAACGGCUCACCAAGACGAUGAUACGUAGCCGACCUGAGAGGGUGAUCGGCCACAUUGGGACUGAGACACGGCCCAAACUCCUACGGGAGGCAGCAGUAGGGAAUCUUCCGCAAUGGACGAAAGUCUGACGGAGCAACGCCGCGUGAGUGAAAGAAGGUUUUCGGAUCGUAAAACUCUGUUGUCAGAGAAGAACAAGUUGGAGAGUAACUGCUCCAGCCUUGACGGUAUCUGACCAGAAAGCCACGGCUAACUACGUGCCAGCCGCCGC